rnacentral:rRNA from 1 species
AGGACGAACGCUGGCGGCGUGCUUAACACAUGCAAGUCGAGCGGAAAGGCCCUUCGGGGUACUCGAGCGGCGAACGGGUGAGUAACACGUGAGCAACCUGCCCUCAGCUCUGGGAUAGCUCCGGGAAACCGGAAUUAAUACCGGAUACGACUACGGCCGACAUCGGCUUUGGUGGAAAGGGUUUCCGGCUGAGGAUGGGCUCGCGGCCUAUCAGCUAGUUGGUGGGGUAAUGGCCCACCAAGGCGACGACGGGUAGCCGGCCUGAGAGGGCGACCGGCCACACUGGGACUGAGACACGGCCCAGACUCCUACGGGAGGCAGCAGUGGGGAAUAUUGCGCAAUGGGCGAAAGCCUGACGCAGCGACGCCGCGUGGGGGAUGAAGGCCUUCGGGUUGUAAACCCUUUCAGCAGGGACGAAGCGCAAGUGACGGUACCUGCAGAAGAAGCGCGGCUAACUACGUGUCAGCAGCCGC